UGUCCUGCCAGCAAAACAGGAAAUGGGGAAUCAAACAAAGCAAGACCAAAGAAAAGUCUCCUCACGCCAGCCCAGUGUGAGUUUCCCGCCUGUUUAGUGUGCCUGUGUGUCUCUGUCUUGGGCCAGCGCCACUCUGGGACCUGAAUGAUGCUUAUCGGAGCUGAUGGUGAAUUGACUGCCUGAUCAGGGCUCAUGGCAUCACCAGGUGCAGCUCGGCAAGGCAUGGUCAGCAAAACCCACACUGAAGAAAGACGUCAAGAUACCCAACCAGCCAGGACUCCUAUGAAAGAGACAGCAGAUGCUAUGCAAAGUCACAGCAGCUCAAGGAGACUUUGUAAUUGUAGCUGGCACAGAGCUGAUGCUAAACAUAGCUUAUUUCCUGGUUCUUGAGGCUCACAGCCCUACAGAUUCAUCCUGAAACCAAAUUAACCAGUUUUUGGUACUUCUUAAAAACAAAACAAAACAAAGCAAAACAAAACAAAACAAAACAAAA